UAGGGAAUCUUCGGCAAUGGGGGGAACCCUGACCGAGCAACGCCGCGUGAGUGAAGAAGGUUUUCGGAUCGUAAAGCUCUGUUGUUAAGGAAGAACGAGUGUGAGAAUGGAAAGUUCAUACUGUGACGGUACUUAACCAGAAAGGGACGGCUAACUACGUGCCAGCAGCCGCGGUAAUACGUAGGUCCCGAGCGUUGUCCGGAUGUAUUGGGCGUAAAGCGAGCGCAGGCGGUUAGAUAAGUCUGAAGUUAAAGGCAGUGGCUCAACCAUUGUAGGCUUUGGAAACUGUUUAACUUGAGUGCAUAAGGGGAGAGUGGAAUUCCAUGUGUAGCGGUGAAAUGCGUAGAUAUAUGGAGGAACACCGGUGGCGAAAGCGGCUCUCUGGUCUGUAACUGACGCUGAGGCUCGAAAGCGUGGGGAGCGAACAGG
rnacentral:rRNA from 1 species